AUUAACGCUGGCGGUGUGCCUAACACAUGCAAGUCAAACGGGUUAUCCGAGAUUACAUCAAGGAUAACUAGUGGCAAACGGGUGCGUAACAUGUUGGAACCUACCCUGAAGAGGGAAAUAACCAGUCGAAAGAUUGGCUAAUGUCCCAUAGUCUCGCAAGAGUAAAGUCUCACGACGCUUCAGGAGGGGCCUGCGGCCUAUCAGCUAGUUGGCGGUGUAAUAGACCACCAAGGCUAUGACGGGUAGCUGGAUUGAGAGAUCGAUCAGCCACAGGGGAACUGAGACACAGUCCCCACUCCUACGGGAGGCAGCAGUGAGGAAUCUUCCGCAAUGGGCGAAAGCCUGACGGAGCAACACCGCGUGAAGGAUGAAGUGGUUCGCCAUGUAAACUUCUUUUCUGAGGGAAGAAUUCUGACGGUACCUCAGGAAUAAGCACCGGCUAACUCUGU
rnacentral:rRNA from 1 species